rnacentral:rRNA from 1 species
UACGUAGGCAGCAAGCGUUGUUCGGAGUUACUGGGCGUAAAGGGUGCGUAGGCGGCUUUUUAAGUUUGGUGUGAAAUCUCCCGGCUCAACUGGGAGGGUGCGCCGAAUACUGAGAGGCUAGAGUGUGGGAGAGGAAAGUGGAAUUCCUGGUGUAGCGGUGAAAUGCGUAGAUAUCAGGAGGAACACCGGUGGUGUAAACGCUUUCGUGGACCAUAACUGACGCUGAGGCACGAAAGCGUGGGGAGCGAACAGG